UGUGGAUCGGAGUGAAAGGCUAAUCAAGCCCGGAGAUAGCUGGUUCUCCUCGAAAGCUAUUUAGGUAGCGCCUCGGACGUAUCCCUCGGGGGGUAGAGCACUGCAUGGAUGAUGGGGGCCCACAGCCUUACUGAGUCUAAGCAAACUCCGAAUACCCGAGAGGACUAUCCGGGAGACACACGGCGGGUGCUAACGUCCGUCGUGGAGAGGGAAACAACCCUGACCAACAGCUAAGGCCCCCAAUUCGUGGCUAAGUGGGAAAGCAUGUGAGACUUCCAAAACAACCAGGAGGUUGGCUUAGAAG
rnacentral:rRNA from 1 species